rnacentral:rRNA from 1 species
CAGCAGCCGCCGCGGGAAAACAGAGGGUGCGAGCGUUAAUCGGAUUUACUGGGCGUAAAGCGUGCGUAGGCGGCUUUUUAAGUCGGAUGUGAAAUCCCUGAGCUUAACUUAGGAAUUGCAUUCGAUACUGGGAAGCUAGAGUAUGGGAGAGGAUGGUAGAAUUCCAGGUGUAGCGGUGAAAUGCGUAGAGAUCUGGAGGAAUACCGAUGGCGAAGGCAGCCAUCUGGCCUAAUACUGACGCUGAGGUACGAAAGCAUGGGGAGCAAACAGGAUUAGAUACCCCUGUAGUCCCUGUCUCUUAUAC